rnacentral:rRNA from 1 species
AGUGAACGCUGGCGGUAGGCCUAACACAUGCAAGUCGAACGGCAGCCCAGUAAGAGCUUGCUCUUCCGGGUGGCGAGUGGCGGACGGGUGAGGAAUACAUCGGAAUCUACUUUUUCGUGGGGGAUAACGUAGGGAAACUUACGCUAAUACCGCAUACGACCUACGGGUGAAAGCAGGGGAUCUUCGGACCUUGCGCGAGUGAAUGAGCCGAUGUCGGAUUAGCUAGGUGGCGGGGUAAUGGCCGACCAAGGCGACGAUCCGUAGCUGGUCUGAGAGGGUGAUCUGCCACACUGGAACUGAGACACGGUCCAGACUCCUACGGGAGGCAGCCGUGGGGAAUAUUGGACAAUGGGCUCAAGCCUGAUCCAGCCAUACCGCGUGGGUGAAGAAGGCCUUCUGGUUGUAAAGCCCUUUUGUUGGGAAAGAAAAGCAGCAUGUUAAUACCCCGCUGUUCUGACGGUACCCAAAGAAUAAGCACCGGCUAACUUCGUG